GAUGAACGCUAGCGACAGGCUUAACACAUGCAAGUCGAGGGGCAUCGGGACGUAGCAAUACGUUGCCGGCGACCGGCGGAUGGGUGAGUAACGCGUAUGCAACCUGCCCACGACAGGGGGACAGCCCGUUGAAAGACGGAUUAAUACCCCAUAAAACAGGGGUUCCGCAUGGGACUAUUUGUUAAAGGGUUUUCCGCGAGGGGGAUCCGGUUGUGGAUGGGCAUGCGUUCCAUUAGGCAGUUGGUGAGGUAACGGCUCACCAAACCGACGAUGGAUAGGGGAACCGGGAGGUUGGUCCCCCACACUGGUACUGAGAUACGGACCAGACUCCUACGGGAGGCAGCAGUGAGGAAUUUUGGCAAUGGACGGAAGUCUGAACCAGCCAAGUCGCGUGAAGGAAGGCGGCCCUAAGGGUUGUAAACUUCUUUUGUAAGGGAAUAAAGGCCGGUACGUGUUACCGGUUUGCAGGUACCUUACGAAUAAGGAUCGGCUAACUCCGUG
rnacentral:rRNA from 1 species